CUGGCUGCCACAAAAGAAGGGUCUCUACCUGAGGAUUCCUCCUUUUGGAGUGUUAAGGAGAGCUCUGACCCUUAGGAUAGGUUUUCAUUAUCAUCAGAGUGAUCGCUGACCCAACACAUUAACUCAAGGAGUGCCGAAGGGCAAAAAUCUUACUGGAGAAGGAUAAUCCCAACAAGUCUUCAAGGGCUCACCAUUCUUCCACACCAUAAGUAGAUGCAGUACUGAGAUAAGGUCUUUCAAGAUAGGAGCUACUGAAGAUGAUACCUGAGAAAUGAAAACAAGAUGUGAAGGCACCUUGUGAAACCCCAUUAACGGCUUCCUUAUGAGCUCCUGCUCUGCUGGUCCGGACCCAUAGAAAAGAGAUUUUCUUAUGAAUCACAACAACACAAAAACAUCUUAGAAAAAUCCCCUUUCAUUUACGGGGCUCAAUUUUCAUUAUUUCCCAUUGCAAAGGAAGCACAAGACUAAAACAUCUGGUCCUGUCAAUGGGCUUUCAGCCAAAGCUUCAACGUCUGCUGCUGAGCUGAAACAACAGCAGCCUAAUCUCUGUAUUGUCUUUAGCUUUUCCAAAUUCUCAUCUUUCUCAGUGAGACAGUGGAAAGAAAUCAUCCCUCAGUGUUUUAUUUCAGGCAUAGCACAUUAAGUUGCAACCACACACCAACAAAAUAUACUUUCCUUCCAAAAUCCUGCCACUUCCUAAAUGCAAUAAAGUUUCAGACUGUGGCAUUCAUUGGAGCUGAGCAACUCGUUUUUCUCAGAAGAUAUUUUUUUACCAAGGUCAGUUCAGCAGGAAGUGGUACCUUGUUUCUGAACAGCUGGGAAACACUCCUGGGGAGUGUGGGAGAGCAGCAAGAAACACAGAGGUCCUAGCAACAAUGAAGGAGUUUUGUGUUCAAUGUAUGGAUGAGAUCCAGGCAGAAAUAUAGCUCAGAGCUGGUCUGAAAUGGAUUCUGACAAUUGAGUGUCUACGCAGUGCAAUGUCCGUCUUGUCACUAGUGUGGAAAGUAAUUGGUUUUGGCACCUGUAAGAUCAUAUAGUUCAUAGUAGAAUAGAAAAAACAACGUACUUGUGCAACUUGGGUUGAGAGUUCUGUGGUUAAUCUUGUAGAGAGCAUGACGUGAUUGAGAGCAACCUACAGCAGUGAGAAAUGACUUUUUCUUGUUAAAAAUCCCAGCUCCCCAGCAGUUACACUAAUACUGAGGUAAUUGCCUUUAAGCUCUGGUGGCAGUUACCUUCCAUGCCCUCUGAGCGUUGUAGCACUGAAAAGAACUUGUCUUGUUGCUUUAAUGAGUGACAUCCUUGUUUCAGCACUCUCUUUCAAAAAGCUAUUACUGCUCCGGAUGCUGGGAAGUAGUUCUUAAGACAAAUGUGCCACAGCACAUGUGGUUAUCUCCCCCUCAGACUCAGACAAAGCCUUUUGGGGUGAGUUUUCAGCAGACACAUGAGAAUAUGCUUCCUUUCCUUUUCCCUCUUCUCCUCAGCUGGCAAACUAAGCUGAAUACCUCUACAUCCAAUGUAGCUCAUCACAAAGCAGGCAAA